GACGUAGGGUGCGAGCGUUGUUCGGAAUUACUGGGCGUAAAGGGCGCGUAGGCGGUACUUCAAGUCAGGCGUGAAAGCCCCGGGCUCAACCUGGGAACCGCGCUUGAGACUGGAGAACUAGAGUUCGGGAGAGGAUGGUGGAAUUCCCAGUGUAGAGGUGAAAUUCGUAGAUAUUGGGAAGAACACCGAUGGCGAAGGCAGCCCAUCUGGACCGACACGUGACGCUGAGGUGCGAAAGCGUGGGGAGCAAACAGG
rnacentral:rRNA from 1 species